rnacentral:rRNA from 1 species
UUUAAUUCGAAGCAACGCGAAGAACCUUACCAGGUCUUGACAUCCCUCUGACCGCUCUAGAGAUAGAGUUUUCCUUCGGGACAGAGGUGACAGGUGGUGCAUGGUUGUCGUCAGCUCGUGUCGUGAGAUGUUGGGUUAAGUCCCGCAACGAGCGCAACCCUUAUUGUUAGUUGCCAUCAUUAAGUUGGGCACUCUAACGAGACUGCCGGUAAUAAACCGGAGGAAGGUGGGGAUGACGUCAAAUCAGCAUGCCCCUUAUGACCUGGGCUACACACGUGCUACAAUGGCUGGUACAACGAGUCGCAAGCCGGUGACGGCAAGCUAAUCUCUUAAAGCCAGUCUCAGUUCGGAUUGUAGGCUGCAACUCGCCUACAUGAAGUCGGAAUCGCUAGUAAUCGCGGAUCAGCACGCCG